GUCUAUGGUCAUGCCACCUGAACGUGCCCGAUCUCAUCUGAUUUUGGAAACUAAGCAGGGUCAGGCCUGGUUAGUACUUGGAUGGGAGACCAUUUAGGAAUACUGUAGGCAUAAAAA
rnacentral:rRNA from 1 species